rnacentral:rRNA from 1 species
GAUGAACGCUGGCGGCGUGCUUAACACAUGCAAGUCGAACGGAAAGGCCCAAGCUUGCUUGGGUGCUCGAGUGGCGAACGGGUGAGUAACACGUGGGUGAUCUGCCCUGCACUUUGGGAUAAGCCUGGGAAACUGGGUCUAAUACCGGAUAGGACCAUCGUUUAGUGUCGGUGGUGGAAAGUUUUUCGGUGUGGGAUGAGCUCGCGGCCUAUCAGCUUGUUGGUGGGGUAAUGGCCUACCAAGGCGUCGACGGGUAGCCGGCCUGAGAGGGUGUACGGCCACAUUGGGACCGAGAUACGGCCCAGACUCCUACGGGAGGCAGCAGUGGGGAAUAUUGCACAAUGGGCGCAAGCCUGAUGCAGCGACGCCGCGUGGGGGAUGACGGCCUUCGGGUUGUAAACUCCUUUCGCCAAGGACGAAGCGUUUUGUGACGGUACUUGGAGAAGAAGCACCGGCUAACUACGUG